AGAUACAGCAGCAGCAACAGCAGCUGCAGCGAAUAGCACAGCUGCAGCUCCAACAACAGCAACAGCAGCAGCAGCAGCAGCAGCAGCAGCAGGCUUUGCAGGCCCAGCCACCAAUUCAGCAGCCACCGAUGCAGCAGCCACAGCCUCCGCCCUCCCAGGCUCUGCCCCAGCAGCUGCAGCAGAUGCAUCACACACAGCACCACCAGCCGCCACCACAGCCCCAGCAGCCUCCAGUUGCUCAGAACCAACCAUCACAACUCCAGCCACAGUCGCAGACCCAGCCUUUGGUGUCACAGGCACAAGCUCUCCCUGGACAAAUGUUGUAUACCCAACCACCACUGAAAUUUGUCCGAGCUCCGAUGGUGGUGCAGCAGCCCCCAGUGCAGCCCCAGGUGCAGCAGCAGCAGACAGCAGUACAGACAGCUCAGGCUGCCCAGAUGGUGGCUCCCGGAGUCCAGCUCUGGCCCUGCCCCGUCUCCCAGUAGCUUCCUGCCCAGCCCCUCACCGCAGCCCUCCCAGAGCCCAGUGACGGCGCGGACCCCACAGAACUUCAGUGUCCCCUCACCUGGACCUUUAAACACACCUGUGAACCCCAGCUCUGUCAUGAGCCCAGCUGGCUCCAGCCAGGCUGAGGAGCAGCAGUACCUGGACAAGCUGAAGCAGCUGUCGAAGUACAUCGAGCCCCUGCGCCGCAUGAUCAA
rnacentral:sRNA from 1 species